rnacentral:lncRNA from 1 species
AUUUUGUUCCUCGGGCUGAACUUUUCAAAACAAGCAAAAGAUUCAAACACAGAGUCUUGGAUCUGAACAUAAACGGAGGAUGAUCUGAACAUCCUGGUUCAUGAUGAGGCUUUGGAAAUUUCUUUGUGUGAUCUGUGGACAGAAAAACAGAUUAGUUAUUCAGCAUGAAUCUGCCACGCUCCAGGAGUGACUUUACGCUCUGCCUGGUUUUUGCCCCAUGCACAUGAUGUGAGGGGCUGCUUCUCCGCUCCGCUGGCAGAGAAAACAAAUGGAAGGUUAGAGAGAACAAUUUCCAGUGCAUUAGUGGCAAAUUGAAAAAAAUGCAUCAAAACAGGAGGCUCCGUGUCAAGACCAUCAAUUCCCUUCGCUCCCCAUUUGGCUUGGGACAGCCUUUGACAGAAAGCAUCGCAUCAAAGCAGCCAAAACAUCACCAACCUGAUCUUGACUUCAGACUGACGUAAAUCAGAAGCCGUGGCCAGCAGAUGAACUCUAGAGAGAUGGAGAACAACAAUAUGAUGGGUCUCCUAAAAUUCUUGUUGCAUCAAAAUAUGGGGGUCUUUGGUCCCAGCUCCACCGUUGACAAAGCUAAGCACCCGCUGCGUUCAGAUGGGGGUCUUUGGUCCCAGCUCCACAAAGCUAAGCACCCGCUGCAAGACUUCCUCAGAUGAGCCUCUCAUGGACCUCUCAGGAAAUGAACUCUGAAAAAGAAAAAUGGAGUUGAGUGAAGUGUGAAUAACAGCAGGAGGGACUUGAGAAGAGGAUCUUCAUUGAGGUAUUUGGUUCUCAUUUGAAUAGCCUUGCUAAUAUCAAGGAAAGGCAGUUGUAAAUUGGCUGCUACUUCAUAUGACUAAGAGCAG